rnacentral:rRNA from 1 species
GACGAACGCUGGCGGCGUGCCUAAUACAUGCCAGUAGAACGCACAGUUUAUACCGUAGCUUGCUACACCAUAGACUGUGAGUUGCGAACGGGUGAGUAACGCGUAGGUAACCUGCCUGGUAGCGGGGGAUAACUAUUGGAAACGAUAGCUAAUACCGCAUAAUAUUGAUUAUUGCAUGAUAAUUGAUUGAAAGAUGCUAUUGCAUCACUACCAGAUGGACCUGCGUUGUAUUAGCUAGUAGGUGAGGUAACGGCUCACCUAGGCGACGAUACAUAGCCGACCUGAGAGGGUGAUCGGCCACACUGGGACUGAGACACGGCCCAGACGCCUACGGGAGGCAGCAGUAGGGAAUCUUCGGCAAUGGACGAAAGUCUGACCGAGCAACGCCGCGUGAGUGAAGAAGGGUGUCGGAUCGUAAAGCUCGGUUGUAAGAGAAGAACGGGUGUGAGAGUGGAAAGUUCACACUGUGACGGUAUCUUACCAGAAAGGGACGGCUAACUACGUG